GCCCAUGUGGCGUAGUGGUUUGAGUGUUGGCCUAUGACUUAGGAGAUCAGGGUUCGAUUCCCUGCUUGAUCA